rnacentral:lncRNA from 1 species
CAAAGAAAAUGCAGGCGCUCUUGGAGCUGAGGAGUUAAGAGUGUGAAUAUGGGACUCUGCGUGCGUGAUGGUGAGACGGUACUGCUCUGGAGUGCCAGGCAGAUUCAUGGAAGAAAUUGGGUGGCUGUGUUUUGAUUGUGCACGCCGGACAUGAGCUUGUGAGUUAGUUCAUUCUUGGUCCCGUGCUCCUUCUGUUGGGUAAAACUUGGAUCUGAACCGAGGAGGCCCAAAGCUCCAACCAGGGCAGAACACUGGGUGGCAACCACCACGGAAGCCCUGCAGCAGCCCCUGCAGUCAACUGUCUCUCCUUUCCCGGUUGUGGGCACAGCACAUGAGGAACAGCAAAAUGUGCUCCUUGAGGUUCAGGUGAUGACUGACAGGUGCAGACCUCUGCAUGGAGGGCCGUUCCCUGCUCCUGGGCUGCGUGUUGCGACCUAGGCCCGUGCACAGGAGACCCUGAAGAAGCUGCACCCGAGCGCAAUGAAGACGAGGGUAAGCGCGCCAUGUGGACGCCUUUGCAUCAGGAUGCCAGGAAUUCGCCCACUCUCGGUGGAGGCCACAAGGCCGGCCUCGCUAGGCCCCCUCUCUGCUGCCCAACCCUCGCCUGCCUUCCUUCGAGGGGGCUACCGAGUCUCCCGCGCCAGGGUGGACACCUCCACUCCCCCUUGCCCCCGGGGACGCACCGAGCGCCUGCACCCUCCUCGGCUCGCCCCCUCCCGGCCUUUGUGUGGUGCGGGACCCCGGCCCGCCGCCCCUGUGAACCGCCUGCCCCGCGCGGAGGCGGGGGCACUUUUCAAUGCCUCGCCGCAGCUCCCUCCAGAUUUGUAAUCCGCCAAAAAGCCGCUGAUUGCUGCAAUCGUUACUUUUCAUUAAAAAAACUUAGAAGCAAUUUGGGAGAACUCUUCUCAAUGAAUACAUUUACCCCCGAACGGUCUUUAUUCUCCGCCUCCACUUGAUGAGUU